rnacentral:tRNA from 1 species
CGCGGGGUGGAGCAGCUCGGUAGCUCGCUGGGCUCAUAACCCAGAGGUCGCAGGUUCAAAUCCUGUCCCC